GGGGACUUAGCUCAGUGGUAGAGCGCUUGCCUAGGAAGCGCAAGGCCCUGGGUUCGGUCCCCAGCUCCG
rfam:Rattus norvegicus chromosome 10, whole genome shotgun sequence.